GAUGAACGCUGACGGCGUGCCUAAUACAUGCAAGUCGAGCGAACAGAUAAGGAGCUUGCUCCUUUGACGUUAGCGGCGGACGGGUGAGUAACACGUGGGUAACCUACCUAUAAGACUGGGAUAACUUCGGGAAACCGGAGCUAAUACCGGAUAAUAUUUCGAACCGCAUGGUUCGAUAGUGAAAGAUGGUUUUGCUAUCACUUAUAGAUGGACCCGCGCCGUAUUAGCUAGUUGGUAAGGUAACGGCUUACCAAGGCGACGAUACGUAGCCGACCUGAGAGGGUGAUCGGCCACACUGGAACUGAGACACGGUCCAGACUCCUACGGGAGGCAGCAGUAGGGAAUCUUCCGCAAUGGGCGAAAGCCUGACGGAGCAACGCCGCGUGAGUGAUGAAGGUCUUCGGAUCGUAAAACUCUGUUAUUAGGGAAGAACAUACGUGUAAGUAACUGUGCACGUCUUGACGGUACCUAAUCAGAAAGCCACGGCUAACUACGUG
rnacentral:rRNA from 1 species